GAGAACGCUGGCGGCGUGCCUAACACAUGCAAGUCGAACGGAGAGGACAUGAAGUAUUUCGGUACGGAAUGCUCUCUUAGUGGCGAACGGGUGAGUAACACGUGGGCAACCUGCCCCAGACUGGGGGAUAACAUUGUGAAAACAGUGCUAAUACCGCAUGACAGGGUUCCGGGCAUCCGGGACCCUUGAAAGGAGAAAUCCGGUCAGGGAUGGGCCCGCGUCCAAUUAGCUAGUUGGCGGGGUAACGGCCCACCAAGGCGACGAUUGGUAGCCGAACUGAGAGGUUGAUCGGCCACAUUGGGACUGAGACACGGCCCAGACUCCUACGGGAGGCAGCAGUGGGGAAUAUUGGGCAAUGGGCGAAAGCCUGACCCAGCGACGCCGCGUGAAGGAUGAAGGUCUUCGGAUUGUAAACUUCUUUGAUCAGGGAAGAAAGAAAUGACGGUACCUGAAAAACAAGCCACGGCUAACUACGUG
rnacentral:rRNA from 1 species